rnacentral:rRNA from 1 species
CCCUGCCCUUUGUACACACCGCCCGUCGCUACUACCGAUUGAAUGGCUUAGUGAGGUCCUCGGAUUGGCGGUGGGCUGCCGGCAACGGCGGCUCGCUGCUGAGAAGUUGAACAAACUUGGUCAUUUAGAGG